rnacentral:rRNA from 1 species
AGAGUUUGAUCCUGGCUCAGAUUGAACGCUGGCGGCAUGCCUUACACAUGCAAGUCGAACGGUAGAGGGGCAACCCUUGAGAGUGGCGAACGGGUGAGUAAUAUAUCGGAACGUGCCCAGUCGUGGGGGAUAACGCAGCGAAAGCUGCGCUAAUACCGCAUACGAUCUAUGGAUGAAAGCGGGGGAUCGCAAGACCUCGCGCGAUUGGAGCGGCCGAUAUCAGAUUAGGUAGUUGGUGGGGUAAAAGCCCACCAAGCCGACGAUCUGUAGCUGGUCUGAGAGGACGACCAGCCACACUGGGACUGAGACACGGCCCAGACUCCUACGGGAGGCAGCAGUGGGGAAUUUUGGACAAUGGGCGCAAGCCUGAUCCAGCAAUGCCGCGUGCAGGACGAAGGCCUUCGGGUUGUAAACUGCUUUUGUACGGAGCGAAACGGUCUGGGUUAAUACCCUGGGCUAAUGACGGUACCGUAAGAAUAAGCACCGGCUAACUACGUGCCAGCCGCCGCGGUAANAC